rnacentral:rRNA from 1 species
GUUUGCAGCUUAAUAUCAUCCUGCAGCCCAAGACCGGUUACUGACUGACACUAAGCAGGGCUAAGCCUGGUCAGUAGCUGGAUGGGAGACCAGAUGGGAAAGCUUGAUCGCUGUUGAAA